AUGAAAUAUUAUCAAUCAUUGGAAUAUUACCAUGUUAAUGCAUGAAGUUUAGUUAAAGUUACAAAUUUCUUCUUUUAAAUUGCUAAUUUGUACUAUAAUGACUGACAUUUUUAAUUUAAAUCUUCUCAGAAAAAAACGAUUUUCACGUCCUUCCGUCGCGUGAAACAUAAAUAGAUCUGUUUCCAAGUAAUUGUAGUAACUACUCAAAAAAUCUUAUUUAGGUGCAAGUGUCGUGGGUUGGUAGGAUCUAUAAACUAUUUCUUAUUAAUUCUAUGUAUAUUACUUCAAAGACAGUAAUUUAUCAUAAGUCGAAAACGAGUUUCAGUUGUGUGACUAAAUGUGAUGUGUAAUUUAUUCAUGCGAUUUAAGUAUUUCAUGGCAUUACGCUUGAUUAGGUUAGUUUCUUAGGUUAUGAACCAGGACAGUCAUGUAUAUACGAAUUGAAUGGUGAUGAGAGAAUCGGUAGGAAUGGCCCCAUUGAUUCUGUAAUUGAACCUAGAAGGCAGAUUAUUUUCAACUUACUGGGGGCUUUUCCACAAUUUUCCUGUACUGUUCAUGCCCAUUUCAACAGUAUUUUCUCCAGAAGAUGUAAUGGGGAAGGUAGGUCUCUACUGUCCGCUCAUUGCCACUGUGUCGCGUUUGGUCUGUGGGGUUUGUAUAUAGAAUGGUACAAAACCAUGGGACUUAAAUGGUCUCCAAGGAUCAAAGCUGUCGUUUACUCAUUUCCAUCGUAACGUGCCUUACAGCCGUGGAAAUCCUGUACAGACUUUGAAGCAUAUGCACAACUAAAAUGUGUACAGUAAUUAUUAACACAUUAUUAAUUGCUCUGGUAUAUUAGAAAAUGUUAAAUGGCUCAUCUAUAAUCAUAUGACCUUCAUCUGCCCUAUUUUUUCUUUUUUAUGAUGAUAACGGGGUGUAAUUAAUAAAGAUUGUCUUCUACAUUUUCCAGUAUCCUUUACGGGUCCCGAGCUUUUCAGUUGGCUUGAUCUAUGGACAUUCGGUAGGACUCCUCGGACGAGGGAUCGGCCCAUCACAAGGCCUCUACCUGUACACGCGACAGCACAACACAGCAAAACAUCCGUGGCUUGAGUGGGAUUCGAACCCACGGUCCCAGCGACCAGGCGGCACAAGGCCCACGCCUCAGACCGCGCGGCCACUGCGGACCCCUAAUGAAGAUUGUCAUAUCCAGAAAUAUGUUUCUGCUACUCGGAUGAUACAUAUUAGACAUCGCUUGCUAAUUUAUAAAAUAAUAAAUUUGUGUAUGUUGGUUGUAUGAUCUUACAGGGGAGCUGAAUGUGAAACUGAUUGCUAAUUAGUGAUUAAUAAAUUAAGGGAAGGGUUUUUUUAAGUUGAAAAAGAGAUAGAGCAGAGAUAUUUUAACAUGAGCAGAUUUUACUUAAAAUACAAAAUGAUAACGCCGCUGUGAAAACUCAUUCUUUUAAAUGUACUGUUUUAUGGAUUUCAUCAACCACCAAUACAAUACUUUAUUUUUCCUGUAGAUCAAAAAUACAUUGAUAUAGGAUAUGUCAAAUGUC